UACGUAGGGGGCUAGCGUUAUCCGGAAUUACUGGGCGUAAAGGGUGCGUAGGUGGUUUCUUAAGUCAGAGGUGAAAGGCUACGGCUCAACCGUAGUAAGCCUUUGAAACUGGGAAACUUGAGUGCAGGAGAGGAGAGUGGAAUUCCUAGUGUAGCGGUGAAAUGCGUAGAUAUUAGGAGGAACACCAGUUGCGAAGGCGGCUCUCUGGACUGUAACUGACACUGAGGCACGAAAGCGUGGGAAGCAAACAGGAUUAGAUACCCGCGUAGUCUCU
rnacentral:rRNA from 1 species